AGAAUCAACGCUGGCGGCGUGCCUAACACAUGCAAGUCGAACGAGAAAGUGGAGCAAUCCAUGAGUAAAGUGGCGCACGGGUGAGUAACACGUGACUAACCUACCCUUGAGUGGGGAAUAACUUCGGGAAACCGAGGCUAAUACCGCAUAACACCUACGGGUCAAAGGAGCAAGUUCGCUUAAGGAGGGGGUCGCGGCAGAUUAGUUAGUUGGCGGGGUAAUGGCCCACCAAGACAGUGAUCUGUA
rnacentral:rRNA from 1 species